UUUGUGGUUGUAUAUGCCAGAAAAUGGAUGCGAUACAAAUAUCUAGGAGCGGCAAUCGCAGGGUAAAACCAUACUCUUUGACUAUGAAGACAUACUCUGCCGCUGGGAAACUUAGUAGGAAAAAUAUUUCUCUCUCUCCUAAUGUUGUUGUUCCAUUUCGUGCGAUCGAUACAUUUGAAGGCUUUCAAGAAAACCUUAACGAAGGUACAAAUAAUUUACGUAGAACUGGAUCUCGAUAUGAAAGGAGGAGAGUGAAUGAUAGCGAAUCCUGGAAGUGUUUGCAAGAUAAUUUAGUAAAGUCGUACAUCGAAAAUUGUGCCAUGUUACCAGAACAACUCUGCGUAAAAUGCAUAGAAGAUGGGAUACCAGCAAAAAAAGCAGAAAUUAGAUGUCGUGAUUGCAGUCACGGACAGUUCUACUGUUUUGAGUGUGCGGAAUCCCUUCAUCGAACGAGGAAUGUUUUCCAUUUGGUUGAAGUAUGACUGAUUGUGAAAUGUUUGUUCCAUUACUUUUUGGUGGUAUAUUACGUGACAGUCAGCAUGCUAACUGCUCUUCAACAGAAUCACAUACUAUAAUAUGUGUGGAUGGAAAAGUACAGUAUGGCAGCAUUGACAGUAUUUUGACUUUGACUACAUGUAAAUGUGUAUAUGUUAGUCAUACUGUUAAGUAUUAGCUUCAUUUAGGCCAAUAAUUUCUAUGUUAAUUAUUUGUAUAUCAAAUAAUCCAAUUUUUAAUCUCAUACAAAAUUUAGGUCGGCAGCAUUUAAAAAUUGUUGAAUUCUGUCAGUGUAUUAAGGAUGCUGAAAAACUAAUUAAACUCCAGCUGUGGCCAGGCUCAUCUUCUAAACCCAAAAUUGCAUUUCACUUUGACUUUAUGGAUUUUGCUGAAAAAUUUUUGCUCAAGAGCCAUGUAUCCUUGCACAAAUUUUUCCAGCACUGUUGAAGUUGAAUAUCCUGAAAUGCUACCUAGACUGGUGAAAAACAUAUAUAACAUGUUAAACAAUUGAUCAUUCGAUGAAUACAGAUAUUUCAAACACCAAGUCAGAUCAUUAAAGUUCGUAAAGAAAGACCUGAUUGAUUAUAGAAAUUGCCCUCUUUGCCCACAAACUGGUGAGUUAGGUGUGGCCAUUCAUUCCAUGGAUGCUCGCUUUGGUCUAACUCGUAAAAAGUUGGAAGGGAAUAGUUUUGCUGUCCCAAACCAUGGCUGCCUUAAGUUUGCUGAUCAGGAUGAAGUAGAUGAUUUUGUUGAUCAUUAUAGCAAGUCUAAUAACAAAGUAGGACAGAGUUGUCAGAUAUUUAAAGCAGAAGAAGUUACAGAAGCACUUCACUCCAAAGGAAAAAUCAACUUUUUGAUGAAAAAGGAGUGUUUGGUAGUUGUUGCAGUCAGCAUUCACACCCUGGACGAUUUUUCAGCACUAAAUAUGGGGAAAGAAUUUCGUAUUCGCUGUUCCUAAUCCAAAGAAUUUUAAAAGAUGUUGACCAAAGUCCUAGUGUUGAUUUUAAAAUAAUGUAUGAUAUUGGAUGUGUAUUAUCAUCACAUUUAAAGGCAAACAAGAGGCAUGACAUUUUGUCAAAAGUGUCCUUUUCGGUGCCGAUAUUUCAUUGUUAUGGACACAAGGCUUCAUGCGAGUGACGUACGAUCCUGAAAUUGUUUGUCAGUGGGAGGCCAGAGAGAAGGAAAUUAUGUCAAGAGUCAACCCAGAUACCACGGAGAACUGGAAAGUGACGUACGUUCAAAAGCUACUGCAUUUUAAACAACUUAGUGUUGCAUCAUUCGGAUGUUUUGAAGAAAACCAGGAGAUAAUCCCUGAAGAUUACUCAAUUCAUCAGAUGUCGAAAAAACUAUACCAUCAUACAAAGAAAACGAAAAGAUACUAUCGGAGCUUUACAUGGACUUUCCAUAGAAAGGCAUUUCUUAAUAACAUUGAGAAAGAAGUAUGCAGAUGGUCAGAAAAUUGCCACUCGCUUGUCCAGGCAAAUCACCAAGAUCACGAACAAGAUGCAAUUAACAAUUGAGAAACACAAUGCUGCCAUUGAUUCUCUUCGUGAUUUUAUAAUCCGUUUACCUGAUCGUCUGACAUUUGACAAAACGAAAGAUCCUACAUCAGACCUUUUAUGAGGGAUUUGAGUCUGGUGAGGAUGACAUUCUAGGGGAAGCCUCGGUCCCAGUAUACACAAAGAGGAAGGCUAUUGAAAUGUACUUAAUUCUAAACGAUGUGACGAGGAAGAGAAACUUUUAAACUUGGAAAGAAAAAGGCUUCUAUUGUAUUACACCAAUCUUAGCUCAAAAAUUGAUAAAGCACUUGCUGAUCUUGGUGAUUUGAGCAGCGAUGAAUUCAUGCUUGGUUCAAAGCAUGAACUGAUGAGAUUUAAAACCAAAUUGCGGAAGGAGUUGUUCAGCUUGAAGAAAAGUUUUGAACUUCCUCUUGGAGAAACUUUUCUUCUCCAUGCUGAGAUUGUCAACUUAACCAAUGAUGUCAACAUUCCCAAUGAAUCUGAAAACUCAACGUAUGAGGAAUCCGAUACUGAAGAUGAAAACAUCGAAGAGCUCUCUGAAGUGAACAGUGACAUUGAACAGACGACAUAGCUAUUAUUCGUAAAGUAAUAGCUACUUUUUAUGUACUUAUUAUGUAAUUUAGUUGUUCACGUAUUUAGUAUAAUAACUGAUAUCACGCAAA